CACGCAGCGUACACAUGCAAGUCGAGCGGAAACGAUCCUAGCUUGCUAGGAGGCGUCGAGCGGCGGACGGGUGAGUAAUGCAUAGGAAUCUGCCCGGUAGUGGGGGAUAACCUGGGGAAACCCAGGCUAAUACCGCAUACGCCCUACGGGGGAAAGCAGGGGAUCUUCGGACCUUGCGCUAUCGGAUGAGCCUAUGUCGGAUUAGCUUGUUGGUGAGGUAAUGGCUCACCAAGGCGACGAUCCGUAGCUGGUCUGAGAGGAUGAUCAGCCACAUCGGGACUGAGACACGGCCCGAACUCCUACGGGAGGCAGCAGUGGGGAAUAUUGGACAAUGGGCGAAAGCCUGAUCCAGCCAUGCCGCGUGUGUGAAGAAGGCUUUCGGGUUGUAAAGCACUUUCAGUGAGGAAGAAUGCCUUGGGCCUAAUACGCCCGAGGAAAGACAUCACUCACAGAAGAAGCACCGGCUAACUCCGUGCCAGCAGCCGCGGUAAUACGGAGGGUGCGAGCGUUAAUCGGAAUUACUGGGCGUAAAGCGCGCGUAGGUGGCUUGAUAAGCCGGUUGUGAAAGCCCCGGGCUCAACCUGGGAACGGCAUCCGGAA
rnacentral:rRNA from 1 species